CAGGUUAUAUUAGCUUAUGAACACUCUGGGAAGGGCUUCAUGGAGGAGGUGACUGGGAUAAGGAAGACUUUUAUCCCAGGGGAAGAGAACACAUGAAGAUGAAGGAGAAAGAAAAGAAGUUACCUGAGGUUAACUGUGAUCCAGAAGCAGACGAUCCUCCUUUGGACAUAGUCUGAAGGUCAACAGUAGCCAAAUGCGAGGUCACAAUGCCUACAUCAUUCACCGCACAUUCACCUCAGGCAUUUUAUUAUCUCACAUCAUCAC